rnacentral:rRNA from 1 species
ACUACGGGAGGCUGCAGUAGGGAAUCUUCCACAAUGGGCGAAAGCCUGAUGGAGCAACGCCGCGUGGGUGAAGAAGGUCUUCGGAUCGUAAAACCCUGUUGUUAGAGAAGAAAGUGCGUGUGAGUAACUGUUCACGUCUAGACGGUAUCUAACCAGAAAGCCACGGCUAACUACGUGCCAGCAGCCGCGGUAAUACGUAGGUGGCAAGCGUUAUCCGGAUUUAUUGGGCGUAAAGGGAACGCAGGCGGUCUUUUAAGUCUGAUGUGAAAGCCAUCGGCUUAACCGGGGUAGUGCAUUGGAUACUGGGAGACGUGAGUGCAGGAGAGGAAAGUGGAACGCCAUGUGUAGCGGUGAAAUGCGUAGAUAUAUGGAAGAACACCAGUGGCGAAGGCGGCUCUCUGGUCUGUAACUGACGCUGAGGUUCGAAAGCGUGGGUAGCAAACAGGAUUAGAUACCCGUGUAGUC